rnacentral:rRNA from 1 species
AUGCCGCGGUGAAUACGUUCCCGGGCCUUGUACACACCGCCCGUCACACCACGAGAGUUUGUAACACCCGAAGUCGGUGAGGUAACCUUCAUGGAGCCAGCCGCCUAAGGUGGGACAGAUGAUUGGGGUGAAGUCGUAACAAGGUAGCCGUAUCGGAAGGUGCGGCUGGAUCACCUCCUUUCU